ensembl:snoRNA SNORD27 Small nucleolar RNA SNORD27
ACUCCAUGAUGAACGAACGUAGAAUGACAAGCAUAUGGCUGAACAAGGAAGUGAUGCCACAUUCCUACUGAGAAGU